UACGGAGGGAGCUAGCGUUGUUCGGAAUUACUGGGCGUAAAGCGUACGUAGGCGGUUAUUCAAGUCAGAGGUGAAAGCCCGGGGCUCAACCCCGGAACUGCCUUUGAAACUAGAUAGCUAGAAUCUUGGAGAGGUCAGUGGAAUUCCGAGUGUAGAGGUGAAAAUUCGUAGAUAUUCGGAAGAACACCAGUGGCGAAGGCGACUGACUGGACAAGCAUUGACGCUGAGGUACGAAAGCGUGGGGGAGCAAACAGG
rnacentral:rRNA from 1 species